AAGGCAAGGGACUUUGACUCCCUCAUGCGUUGGUUCGAAUCCAGCUACCCCAG
rfam:Peptoniphilus lacrimalis DNF00528 contig003, whole genome shotgun sequence.